rnacentral:rRNA from 1 species
CCUACGGGGAGCAGCAGUGAGGAAUAUUGGUCAAUGGACGCUAGCCUGAACCAGCCAAGCAGCGUGAAGGAUGACGGCUCUAUGAGUUGUAAACUGCUUUUGUACGAGAGUAAAGUCAGAUACGUGUAUUGGUCUGAAAGUAUCGUACGAAUAAGGAUCGGCUAACUCCGUGCCAGCAGCCGCGGUAAUACGGAGGAUUCGAGCGUUAUCCGGAUUGAUUGGGUUUAAAGGGAGCGUAGGCGGUCUGUUAAGUUAGUGGUGAAAGUUCGCGGCUCAACCGGAGAAUUGCAGCUGAUACUGGUAGCCUAGAGUACAGUAGCGGUAGGCGGAAUUCGUGGUGUAGCGGUGAAAUGCUUAGAUAUCACACAGAACACCGAUUGCGAAGGCAGCCUGC